rnacentral:piRNA from 1 species
UGUGACCACACCAUGCUCACUGAUGGUCUU